rnacentral:rRNA from 1 species
GGAUCAUUAUUGAGAGGUCUUUUGACCAAUCACUUUGUCUACUUUACCACAGUUGCUUUCCGGCGUCCCAGCGUGCUGGGUAUAAGCCCGGAUCAUAAACCAUGUAUAAGUAAAUUGUCUGAUUUUUAUAAUUAAAAAAAUUAAAACUUUCAACAACGGAUCUCUUGGUUCUGGCAUCGAUGAAGAACGCAGCGAAAUGCGAUAAGUAAUAUGAAUUGCAGAAUUCCGUGAAUCAUCGAAUUUUUGAACGCACAUUGCACCUUUUGGUAUUCCGAAAGGUGUGCCUAUUUGAGCGUCAUUACAUCCCUCAAGUCUUGACUUGAUGUUGGAGGUUGUUCGGGUCAUGAACUCCUCUCAAAUGCAAUGAUGGUUUAGUUAAACAAUCAACCCACUGAGCUUCGGCGGGGAAGGGAGUUUAACCAAAACAUGCCUCAACAUAUUUCUCAUGUUGACCUCAAAUUAGGUAGGAUUACCCGCUGAACUUAAGCAUAUCAAUAAGCGGAGGAAAAGAAACCAACAGGGAUUACCCUAGUAACGGCGAGUGAAGCGGUAAAAGCUCAAAUUUGAAAUCUGGCUCUACGAGUCCGAGUUGUAAUUUGUAGAGGAUCUUUCGGGUACUGGACGGAUUUAAAUUUCUUGGAACAGAAUGUCAUAGAGGGUGAGAAUCCCGUCUAGAGUUCGUCUAAGGCCCAUGUGAAAGUCCUUCAAUGAGUCGAGUUGUUUGGGAAUGCAGCUCAAAAUGGGUGGUAAAUUUCAUCUAAAGCUAAAUAUUGGCCAGAGACCGAUAGCGCACAAGUAGAGUGAUCGAAAGAUGAAAAGAACUUUGAAAAGAGAGUUAAACAGUAUGUGAAAUUGUUGAAAGGGAAGCAUAUAUCCCCAGACGUGGAUGUUUCGUUCCCCCUUCCUUCUGGUUGGGUUACUCGGAAUGUCUGGGCCAACGUCAGUUGGGACUGCCGGUGAAAGCAUCGAGGAAUGUAUCUACCCCCGGGUCGACUUAUAGCCUUGAUGGUCCUACGGCAUGUCUCGACUGAGGCACGCGC